AACUCACGCACGCACACACCCAUUCUCAACAAACGCACGCACGCAUCCAUUAGUCAUCCCACGCACACAUCCAUUCAUCAAGUCACGCAGCAAUCCAUCAAUCGACAACCCACGCACCUAUCGAUCGGGACUCACGGCCAGGACGAGGGAAGCACGUACGUAGAAUCCUCACGCAUCGGCCGGAGGCGGAGUGGAUGGCCUCUGGCAGAAUUUCAGGCGGCUGCAUCCCGGGAGCAAGGCCAGGAGGAGGAGCCGAACCACCGGAGGCCAAACUCGUGUUCCAGGAGGGUAAGAUGAUCGUCUAACUAAUCUUACUUCUCUCUUUCUUCCACGCAUAUGGCAUGCACGCACACAAGCCGGGAGCAUUGCCGAACGCGAAGUUCGCAUGAUCGGACCGCCGCCGGAGAUAGAGCCGCCGGACUGGAAGAUGAGGUCGACGAAGUCAACGGUGCCUGAGAUGGUCUUCACCAGGCCAGCGCCACAAAGAACGACGAGGAGGUCGUCAUCACCACCGGCUGUCCACCUCGUCACGACGGUUCGGCAAAGACGACGACACGGAGCACGCCACGACGCCGCCCACUGUCGACGCCACCGAGGUCGGUGCCACGGAGGUCGACACCACGGUGAUCGCCCCCACUCAUCACCGCUCGAUGAGGACGAUGCGUCGCCGGAGCUCAUCUUCAUCAAGCCCGCGCUAUGGACGCUGACUCCACCGAGAUCGGUGGCACGGAGGUCGACGCCACGGUGGCCGCCCCCACUCAUCACUGCUCGAUGAGGACGACGCGUCGCUGGAGCUCAUCUUCAUCAAACCCGCGCUAUGGAUGCUGACUCCACCGAGGUCGGUGCCACGGAAGUCGACGCCACGGUGGCCGCCCCCACUCAUCACCGCUCGAUGAGGACGACGCGUCGCCGGAGCUCGUCUUCACCAAACCCGCGCCACGGUAGCUGCCCCCACUCACCACCGCUCGACGAGGACGCUGUUAGAAUAAGUAUAUGUAUCGGACGUGGAGUUCUAGUUGUAUACAGGCAAUUGACUUGUACGUCAAUUGUCCCAGCCGUGUCCUACUCUGUAAUGAUCUCUGAUAGGUCUAUUGUGAUAUAAAUAUACGGCAGGUGAUCUCAGGAGAUCAUCACGCCUCAACCAAUCGACCCUUGAUUUCUUACAUGGUAACAGAGCC
rnacentral:rRNA from 1 species